rnacentral:rRNA from 1 species
GACGAACGCUGGCGGCGUGCUUAACACAUGCAAGUCGAACGGAAAGGCCCUGCUUUUGUGGGGUGCUCGAGUGGCGAACGGGUGAGUAACACGUGAGUAACCUGCCCUUGACUUUGGGAUAACUUCAGGAAACUGGGGCUAAUACCGGAUAGGAGCUCCUGCUGCAUGGUGGGGGUUGGAAAGUUUCGGCGGUUGGGGAUGGACUGGCGGCUUAUCAGCUUGUUGGUGGGGUAGUGGCUUACCAAGGCUUUGACGGGUAGCCGGCCUGAGAGGGUGACCGGCCACAUUGGUACUGAGAUACGGCCCAGACUCCUAUGGGAGGCAGCAGUGGGGAAUAUUGCGCAAUGGGCGGAAGCCUGAUGCAGCAACGCCGCGUGCGGGAUGACGGCCUUCGGGUUGUAAACCGCUUUCGCCUGUGACGAAGCGUGAGUGACGGUAAUGGGUAAAGAAGCACCGGCUAACUACGUG